UAAUUGCAGGGUAUGUGAAUCGUGUAUCUAAACACUGUGCCACAAAUGGCAAUGGACCGACGGAUCCAUCAUCUUCGUACCAAGAGGAAACAGAUGGAAGACCUUUGCUUCAGGCUACUGUCAAAUGCAAAUAUAUAUAUAUUAAACCUUCUCAUUAUACCGACUGCGAGCUCUGCUCCUGCCCCUGUGUGCCACUUGGAGCUCACUGUACUUGUUUCCAGUGUGGACGUUUUGUCUCGUUUUGCUUAUUGCAGGAUAUCUAUUAUUUCUGAUGGAAAAUAAGAAAAUAGACAUUGAUUGUUAUGCAUUAAGCCUCAGCAUUAAAAUAUUGUUAAUCAUCUUUGAGCUAGUAUGUUUGUAGUAAUGUUUAGAAAAGCAAAAAUAAAGUGGAAAUACUGAACCAAUGUUGCUAAUAGCUGAGGAAAUCAAGGGGCAUUCGCAAAAAAAAACAAAAACAAAAAAAAAGUAGUUUAUCUGGAAAUAAAGUUUCAAUAUCUGUGACUGAAAAUGUAAUUUUAUGAGAUGAGAAGUUUUUACCAAUCUUCAGUAUAUUAACUUGACCUUCCUGUAUGUGUUUUAAAGCUGAACUUUGCACUUAUUUGUUAGCGAGUCUUUUUAGUAUGACUCUUGGUUUUGUCCUCUUCAGACAUCACUCUGCACCAGCACCUGAUGGUGCACCUGGUGUGGAAAUGUGAUUUUACUUGUUGCUUACCUGAAAAGUUGCAUUUUGUAUCAAUAUUGUUGACAGCUGUUAUCUCUGAAGAAUUUAAAUUACUGAGUUACAACAACAUUUAAUUCCCCUUUGGGAUUAAUAAAGUAUUUUUGAA